GUCUACGGCCAUACCACCCUGAACGCGCCCGAUCUCGUCUGAUCUCGGAAGCUAAGCAGGGUCGGGCCCGGUUAGUACUUGGAUGGGAGACCGCCUGGGAAUACCGGGUGCUGUAGGCU
ensembl:rRNA 5S_rRNA 5S ribosomal RNA